rnacentral:rRNA from 1 species
GGGAACGUACCUUUCGGUUCGGAAUAAUUCAGGGAAACUUGGACUAAUACCGGAUACGCCCUUCGGGGGAAAGAUUUAUCGCCGAUAGAUCGGCCCGCGUCUGAUUAGCUAGUUGGUGAGGUAAUGGCUCACCAAGGCGACGAUCAGUAGCUGGUCUGAGAGGAUGAUCAGCCACAUUGGGACUGAGACACGGCCCAAACUCCUACGGGAGGCAGCAGUGGGGAAUAUUGGACAACGGGCGCAAGCCUGAUCCAGCCAUGCCGCGUGAGUGAUGAAGGCCUUAGGGUUGUAAAGCUCUUUUGUCCGGGAAGAUAAUGACUGUACCGGAAGAAUAAGCCCCGGCUAACUUCGUGCCAGCAGCCGCGGUAAUACGAAGGGGGCUAGCGUUGCUCGGAAUCACUGGGCGUAAAGGGCGCGUAGGCGGACUUUUAAGUCGGAGGUGAAAGCCCAGGGCUCAACCCUGGAAUUGCCUUCGAUACUGGAAGUCUUGAGUUCGGAAGAGGUUGGUGGAACUGCGAGUGUAGAGGUGAAAUUCGUAGAUAUUCGCAAGAAC